rnacentral:rRNA from 1 species
AUUGAACGCUGGCGGCAGGCCUAACACAUGCAAGUCGAACGAGUGGCGGACGGGUGAGUAAUGUAUGGGAAACUGCCUGAUGGAGGGGGAUAACUACUGGAAAAGGUAGCUAAUACCGCAUACUAUCAGAUGUGCCAAUAUGGGAUUAGCUAGUUGGUGGGGUAACGGCUCACCACGGCGACGAUCCCUAGCUGGUCUGAGAGGAUGUCUAGCCACACUGGAACUUGGACACGGUCCAGACUCCUACGGGAGGCAGCAGUGGGGAAUAUUGCACAAUGGGGGAAAGCCUGAUGCAGCCAUGCCGCGUGUAUGAAGAAGGCCUUCGGGUUGUAAAGUACUUUCGGCGGGGAGGCGUUACCCGCAGAAGAAGCACCGGCUAACUCCGUGCCAGCAGCCGCGGUAAUAC